rnacentral:rRNA from 1 species
UUGACGGGAGCCCGCACAAGCGGUGGAGCAUGUGGUUAAUUCGAAGCAACGCGAAGAACCUUACCUGGCCUUGACAUGCUGAGAACUUUCCAGAGAUGGAUUGGUGCCUUCGGGAACUCAGACACAGGUGCUGCAUGGCUGUCGUCAGCUCGUGUCGUGAGAUGUUGGGUUAAGUCCCGUAACGAGCGCAACCCUUGUCCUUAGUUACCAGCACGUAAUGGUGGGCACUCUAAGGAGACUGCCGGUGACAAACCGGAGGAAGGUGGGGAUGACGUCAAGUCCUCAUGGCCCUUAUGGGUAGGGCUUCACACGUCAUACAAUGGUCGGUACAGAGGGUUGCCAACCCGCGAGGGGGAGCUAAUCCCACAAAGCCGAUCGUAGUCCGGAUCGCAGUCUGCAACUCGACUGCGUGAAGUCGGAAUCGCUAGUAAUCGUGGAUCAGCAUGUCACGGUGAAUACGUUCCCGGGUCUU